CCUACGGGUGGCUGCAGUGAGGAAUAUUGGUCAAUGGACGCAAGUCUGAACCAGCCAUGCCGCGUGCAGGAAGACGGCUCUAUGAGUUGUAAACUGCUUUUGUACGAGGGUAAACGCAGAUACGCGUAUCUGUCUGAAAGUAUCGUACGAAUAAGGAUCGGCUAACUCCGUGCCAGCAGCCGCGGUAAUACGGAGGAUUCAAGCGUUAUCCGGAUUUAUUGGGUUUAAAGGGUGCGUAGGCGGUCGGAUAAGUUAGAGGUGAAAGCCCGAGGCUCAACUUCGGAAUUGCCUUUGAGACUGGUCGGCUUGAGAGUAGUUGAGGUAGGCGGAAUGUGUGGUGUAGCGGUGAAAUGCUUAGAGAUCAUACAGAACCCCGAUUGCGAAGGCAGCUUACCAAGCUACUACUGACGUUGAGGCACGAAAGCGUGGGUAGCAAACAGGAUUAGAUACCCGAGUAGUC
rnacentral:rRNA from 1 species